GUGUUAUUUCCUGACCAUGCCGAAAAGCUAUUUGAAACUUGGGCAUUGCAUUUUCCAGACAGAAUCCUGCACUUCCCAGCCAAGAACCAGGAGCAUCAACAAAUCACCUCCAGAACCCCAUGAUGAUAUUCCAACUCCUGUCUACAAAAGUGGGAAGAAAAUCUUAAGUCUAUGUUGGGACCAACAUGGUUGCAUUCUUCUGAGAGCCUGAUGUGACAAAACCAUUCCCAUUUGUCCUUGGAUUGGAAGAUGGCGAUCUCUGCCAUCAAGCCUUCGUUGUUUUUGACAGACAGUCACUCCAGCAAUACACCCUCCUUGAUGAUGUUGACAUGUUUUAAACUUUUUUUUUAUGUUUUGGACAUUAAUUUUACUAAGCAGUGCACAUCAGUGUGGGUGUUUUUGAAGACUGUUGUUUACAAACUCCCAAGAACGGAAUCCCUUUCUAUAAGAAGUCUGUGUAGUUAUUUGUCAUGCUAAGGUGAUAACUCAUGUUGAUCAUAUAUUGACUGUUUGUGCAACUUUGUGUUGAUCUUAUGUGUUACAUUAACCAUUUCUUAUUACACGGUUCUCUAAAAUGCUAGAUUCUGAUUGGCCAGUCAUGACAUUCUACUACUGCUCAAAACUAAAAACUCCAAUGCUGCAAAUCAUUUUGACAGGUACAGUUUUAUAUUACACAAAAAUUAAAUAUCAAUGUCUAUUAAUUACAUAUCCGACAUUAAAUUUAUAAAUGAUUAAAUGUGUUCGUGACAUUUGUCCUGAAGAAACUGUUGAGGUUUUUUUCUGUGAUGACAUGCUGCCAAUACAUUAUCCCUUAC